rnacentral:rRNA from 1 species
AACCGGAUUAGAUACCCUGGUAGUCCACGCCCUAAACGAUGUCUACUAGUUGUCGGGUCUUAAUAGACUUGGUAACGCAGCUAACGCGUGAAGUAGACCGCCUGGGGAGUACGGUCGCAAGAUUAAAACUCAAAGGAAUUGACGGGGACCCGCACAAGCGGUGGAUGAUGUGGAUUAAUUCGAUGCAACGCGAAAAACCUUACCUACCCUUGACAUGGCUGGAAUCCUUGAGAGAUCAGGGAGUGCUCGAAAGAGAACCAGUACACAGGUGCUGCAUGGCUGUCGUCAGCUCGUGUCGUGAGAUGUUGGGUUAAGUCCCGCAACGAGCGCAACCCUUGUCAUUAGUUGCUACGAAAGGGCACUCUAAUGAGACUGCCGGUGACAAACCGGAGGAAGGUGGGGAUGACGUCAAGUCCUCAUGGCCCUUAUGGGUAGGGCUUCACACGUCAUACAAUGGUACAUACAGAGCGCCGCCAACCCGCGAGGGGGAGCUAAUCGCAGAAAGUGUAUCGUAGUCCGGAUUGUAGUCUGCAACUCGACUGCAUGAAGUUGGAAUCGCUAG